UUCUUUGACCGACGGAUGGAAUGGCGGGAAUUAAAAGGCAGCAGGCGAGCUUUCAAAAUGUGAGAGAGAGAGAGAGAAAGAGAGGUGUGGGUUUGGUUUCUUUCUUGGAGUCAGAGGAGGUUGGAGAAGAGACAUGGAGAUGGUGACGGGGAGGUGUUGGAGGAGAGCGGUGGGCUGGUGGAAGCAAGGCGGCGCCCGAGGAGGAGCGCCAGCGCAGUGGAAACUCCCGGUGGAGCAUCGCCGGAGACGGAGGAAGAAGGCAGCGGCGAGGAAGCGGAGCAGAGGAGCGUCUAUUACGACGCGGACCAAGGUUUGUGUGGUUUCUUCUUGGUGGCCGUCCCAUUCGUUUCUGUCGCCACCUUAAACCAAGAAACAAGAAACAUUGUGAAAUGACGAUGAUGCUCGUGUUCUUUUGUUGAUUUGUACGAGGAGCAUUUCCUCCCCCCCGGCGCCAUUCGUGUCUUUGCUGGUGCCCUUUACGACGUCUGAGAACAGAAAGAAUCCGUUUGUUUUCCCAGAAAGAAUCUGGGAUCGUUUACGGGAACGGGAAUUAGAAGAUACAAGCGAUCGCGUGGUUUUCUGCUCUGUUGCCGAAGCUUUCCGUCUAUCAUCUUACUUCAUUUCUUGGAUCGGAUUUCUUGUUGUGAUGGGUAAAGAACACUGAAUCUUGGCGGUAGGUCUGUUUCUUGCUCUCUUAGAUCGACAUGGAAGAAUGGUUUGUGUAUCGUUUUUGCUUCAUCAUGUCAGCAAGAUGCCUAGGUUAUUAUCUCUUCUUGAACCCUCUGAUCUUGAUAUUGGCGGCAGGGUUUAUUGAGUUCCUUGGUCUUUUAGAUCUCCAUGGACGAACGAAUUGUAUAUGGGUUUCGCUUCCUCGCGUCAACCAGAUGCCUUUUUGCUUCUCUCUUCUUGAACCCUUUGUUCUUGAUGCUGUGGCGUCGGAUUCAGGUUGACGCGUCAGAGUUUGGUCGGCCUUUCAUUUCAUUGUUAGGAAUUCAGUUCUUAGAUCGCGAAUCUCUUCGGAAUGGUUCUGUGCUUAGCGUCUGGGGGAAGGGCGAGUUGGUCCACUUGGAUCCCUCGUGAGCUUUACUUGUUUGUUUCCUCAUCUGAUGAGUUCCUACAAGAGGACGAAUGCAAUUCUUUCAUAAUGAGGUUUGGUUUGACUUUGUCUUCAUGGUCUUUACAUUUAUUGUGUGAUAAUUUGUUCUCAGCCCUUGAUGUGAUAAUUAGGUUACUUUCUUGUGCAUGCGACAGGACUAAUAGGAAGUUGCUUUUCUUAGAUUCACAGUGAUGCAAUAAUCUCCUAUCGACAGAUGAAAUUGGUGAAAUGAAGCCCAAAAAGGACGAUCAGAUUGCUACUUGUCAAGAAGCUGCAAAUGGAAGAUCAGAAUUUAAACCUCAAUUGACAAAACAUGGCAGUGAAAUUACUGAAAGUGAAGACAAAAGAGCAGUACAUGAACAGAGUAUGGUACCAAAAAAGAGUCUAUUGAAGGUGAUAGAGUUUGAUCUUGAGAGGAUAUUAGAGGAACAGGAUACACAUGAUUUGUGCUGUCCUAAUUGUAACUCAUGCAUCACAAAAAGAGUGAUUUUACAAAAAAGGAAAUGGUCAGUUAGAGAAAUUCAGCAUGAUAUGCCAUCAAAGAAAGUGAAUGAAGAACAACAAUAUGAUGCUGAUGAAAUGACAAAUCUUGCUGAUGCACCAGAACCAGAUGUAUUCAGAUGUUUAUCAUGUUUCAGCUUUUUCAUUCCAACAGAGGGUGGUUUUAACAUAUUCCGGAUAUUUGAGAAAGGAAAGGAAUCUCAUGUGAAAAGGAAAGAAAUUCAAUUGGAUUUCGUCUAUUUUUAAAGUGGAUAAAAGCAAAACGAAAGAAAGUGAACCAGGAAGCCCGUCAAUCAUAGAAGGAAAAC